AACUAACGGUUAUGUAGAAAACCCUAAUCACUCAAAAAUUUCAAAAAUCCUUCCAUCACCUAAUCGCUCAGUUAAAUUGGUGACGAUUAGUGGGAGUUCGAAGCUUUGAUUUUUCUUCGCUCCAUUUUUCCUUGCCUGCAUUUUCUUGUUCUGGUACUUUCGAAUUUUAAAUAUUUAUAAAUCCUGAUUUGUGUAAAUUGCCUAUUGCUAGGUAAUUGUUCAACCCAGAAGAUCUGAUAGAAAGACCCAAUUGAAGCCCUAGCUUUUCUGGUGGAAGGCAAUUGACACCAAGGUCGAAUUUGCAGUCAACAAUUGCAGUUUUGCUUGGCGCUACUAGGUGGUAGCUUUUCACCUGACUUCCAAGACCACCAUCUCAUCUACUCUUCAAUAGCUAACUGCCACUCAAGGGCUGGAUAGGAAGUCUGCUUUCUCUGCAGGAUCGUAUGAGCUUCAUGCUAGUUGUGCCAAGAUUGAGUGGCGUGGCAUCCUUAUUUGACCCAAUUUUCAAUGAGACCACAUCCCAAGGUGGAUGGUCUUUUUACGUGUCAUGGAGUGUCUGCCGCCAUGCGAAUUGCGUGUCGUGUUAGUUUUUAUUUUUUAUUUUUUAUUACGAGGGUAGGGGAGAUUCAAAUUGGAACCUCUUCCAACAUUGAGAAGAGAAAUACGAACAAACCAAGUGCUACUCGGUGCAUGAGUUUGCUUGGUGAUCUGAAAUUUAUGACUAAAUGCCAUGUUAUUAGUCUUAGGUGACUUAAAUUACUAUAUUGGAAGAUGUUCAUGGAUGUUCUGAGCAAGUUCUUUCUGAUGAAUGAUAGUCUUGAACCUAA